rnacentral:rRNA from 1 species
CCUACGGGAGGCAGCAGUAGGGAAUCUUCCACAAUGGGCGAAAGCCUGAUGGAGCAACGCCGCGUGAGUGAUGAAGGCCUUCGGGUUGUAAAACUCUGUCAUUCGGGACGAACCGGAGUCUGAGGAAAUGCAGACUCUCUGACGGUACCGGAGGAGGAAGCCCCGGCUAACUACGUGCCAGCAGCCGCGGUAAUACGUAGGGGGCAAGCGUUGUCCGGAUUCACUGGGCGUAAAGCGCGCGCAGGCGGUGAUGUAAGUCUGAGGUGAAAACCCGAAGCUCAACUUCGGGACUGCCUUGGAUACUGCGUCACUUGAGGAUAGGAGAGGCAAGGGGAAUUCCACGUGUAGCGGUGAAAUGCGUAGAGAUGUGGAGGAACACCUGUGGCGAAGGCGCCUUGCUGGCCUAUUUCUGACGCUGAGGCGCGAAAGCGUGGGGAGCAAACAGGAUUAGAUACCCUGGUAGUCCACGCUGUAAACGAUGAGUGCUAGGUGUAGGUGGGCUCAUACCCAUCUGUGCCGAAGCUAACGCAUUAAGCACUCCGCCUGGGGAGUACGGUCGCAGACUGAAACUCAAAGGAAUUGACGG